rnacentral:rRNA from 1 species
GAUGAACGCUGGCGGCGUGCCUAAUACAUGCAAGUCGAGCGAACAGAUGAGAAGCUUGCUUCUCUGAUGUUAGCGGCGGACGGGUGAGUGACACGUGGGUAACCUACCUAUAAGACUGGGAUAACUCCGGGAAACCGGGGCUAAUACCGGAUAAUAUUUUGAACCGCAUGGUUGAACAGUGAAAGACGGUUUCGGCUGUCACUUAUAGAUGAACCCGCGCCGUAUUAGCUAGCUGGUAAGGUAACGGCUUACCAAGGCGAAGAUACGUAGCCGACGUGAGAGGGUGAUCGGCCACACUGGAACUGAGACACGGUCCAGACUCCUACGGGAGGCAGCAGUAGGGAAUCUUCCGCAAUGGGCGAAAGCCUGACGGAGCAACGCCGCGUGAGUGAUGAAGGUCUUCGGAUCGUAAAACUCUGUUGUUAGGGAAGAACAAAUUUGUUAGUAACUGAACAAGUCUUGACGGUACCUAACCAGAAAGCCACGGCUAACUACGUGCCAGCCGCCGCCGUAA